GAUGAACGCUGGCGGCGUGCCUAAUACAUGCAAGUCGAGCGAACAGACGAGGGGCUUGCUCCUCUGACGUUAGCGGCGGACGGGUGAGUAACACGUGGAUAACCUACCUAUAAGACUGGGAUAACUUCGGGAAACCGGAGCUAAUACCGGAUAAUAUAUUGAACCGCAUGGUUCAAUAGUGAAAGACGGUUUUGCUGUCACUUAUAGAUGGAUCCGCGCCGCAUUAGCUAGUUGGUAAGGUAACGGCUUACCAAGGCAACGAUGCGUAGCCGACCUGAGAGGGUGAUCGGCCACACUGGAACUGAGACACGGUCCAGACUCCUACGGGAGGCAGCAGUAGGGAAUCUUCCGCAAUGGGCUAAAGCCUGACGGAGCAACGCCGCGUGAGUGAUGAAGUUCCUCGGAUCGUAAAACUCUGUUAUUAGUGAAGAACAAUUGUGUAAGUAACUAUGCACGUCUUGACGGUACCUAAUCAGAAAGCCACGGCUAACUACGUG
rnacentral:rRNA from 1 species